UAACACGUAGGUAACCUGCCCAUGUGCCCGGGAUAACUUCUGGAAACGGAUGCUAAAACCGGAUAGGUAGCGGACAAGCAUUUGACUGCUAUUAAAGUGGCCUUGGCCAUGAACAUGGAUGGACCUGCGGUGCAUUAGCUAGUUGGUGAGGUAACGGCCCACCAAGGCGACGAUGCAUAGCCGGCCUGAGAGGGCGGACGGCCACAUUGGGACUGAGACACGGCCCAAACUCCUACGGGAGGCAGCAGUAGGGAAUUUUCGUCAAUGGGGGGAACCCUGAACGAGCAAUGCCGCGUGAGUGAGGAAGGUCUUCGGAUCGUAAAGCUCUGUUGUAAGAGAAAAACGGCACUCAUAGGGAAUGAUGAGUGAGUGAUGGUAUCUUACCAGAAAGUCACGGCUAACUACGUGCCAGCAGCCGCGGUAAUACGUAGGUGGCGAGCGUUAUCCGGAAUGAUUGGGCGUAAAGGGUGCGUAGGUGGCAGAUCAAGUCUGGAGUAAAAGGUAUGGGCUCAACCCGUACUGGCUCUGGAAACUGAUCAGCUAGAGAACAGAAGAGGACGGCGGAACUCCAUGUGUAGCGGUAAAAUGCGUAGAUAUAUGGAAGAACACCGGUGGCGAAGGCGGCCGUCUGGUCUGGAUUCUGACACUGAAGCACGAAAGCGUGGGGAGCAAAUAGGAUUAGAUACCCUAGUAGUCCACGCCGUAAACGAUGAGAACUAGGU
rnacentral:rRNA from 1 species